GCAGGCUGCAACUCGCCUGCAUGAAGCUGGAAUUGCUAGUAAUCGCGGAUCAGCAAGCCGCGGUGAAUACGUUCCCGGGCCUUGCACACACCGCCCGUCACACCAUGAGAGUCGGGAACACCCGAAGUCCGUAGUCUAACCGCAAGGGGGGCGCGGCCGAAGGUGGGUCCGGUAAUUGGGGUGAAGUCGUAACAAGGUAGC
rnacentral:rRNA from 1 species